GGAAUAUUGGUCAAUGGAGGCAACUCUGAACCAGCCAUGCCGCGUGCAGGAAGACAGCCCUCUGGGUCGUAAACUGCUUUUAUUCGGGAAUAGACCUCACUACGUGUAGUGAGCUGAAUGUACCGAAGGAAUAAGGAUCGGCUAACUCCGUGCCAGCAGCCGCGGUAAUACGGAGGAUCCAAGCGUUAUCCGGAUUUAUUGGGUUUAAAGGGUGCGUAGGCGGCUUAUUAAGUCAGGGGUGAAAGACGGUGGCUCAACCAUCGCAGUGCCCUUGAUACUGAUGAGCUUGAAUACACUAGAGGUAGGCGGAAUGUGACAAGUAGCGGUGAAAUGCAUAGAUAUGUCACAGAACACCGAUUGCGAAGGCAGCUUACUAUGGUGUGAUUGACGCUGAGGCACGAAAGCGUGGGGAUCAAACAGGAUUAGAUACCCCUG
rnacentral:rRNA from 1 species